UGCGUUUUUAAUAAAUAACGCAAUGAUGCUUGAGCCUAUAAAUAUAUUUUAACAAUUAGAAAAAACUUAAUUUGAUUUAAUGAAUAUUAAAUGUUAAUUAACAAACCUCGCAGAGCGUUUGCUGUAAUUCCUUGACAAUUUCACAUAAUAUUUUAUACAACAAAAUUAUAUUCCUUACGAUGGAUCAAGACGAGAAGUUCCAUGAUAAAGGCUCAAAUUCAAACUAGUUUCCUUUAGUGUUAAGUUAUGUUUGUCAAUGCGUAAAUUAUUUUCCUUAUCUUCAAGAUCAUGAUCCAUGUAAUAAAGAGUAGCCUUUAAUCUACGAA